rnacentral:rRNA from 1 species
CCUACGGGAGGCAGCAGUGGGGAAUAUUGGGCAAUGGGCGCAAGCCUGACCCAGCAACGCCGCGUGAAGGAAGAAGGCUUUCGGGUUGUAAACUUCUUUUAAGAGGGAAGAGCAGAAGACGGUACCUCUUGAAUAAGCCACGGCUAACUACGUGCCAGCAGCCGCGGUAAUACGUAGGUGGCAAGCGUUGUCCGGAUUUACUGGGGGUAAAGGGCGUGCAGCCGGGAAGACAAGUCAGAUGUGAAAUCCCGCGGCUCAACCGCGGAACUGCAUUUGAAACUGUUUUUCUUGAGUACCGGAGAGGUCAUCGGAAUUCCUUGUGUAGCGGUGAAAUGCGUAGAUAUAAGGAAGAACACCGGUGGCGAAGGCGGAUGACUGGACGGCAACUGACGGUGAGGCGCGAAAGCGUGGGGAGCAAACAGGAUUAGAUACCCCAGUAGUC